rnacentral:rRNA from 1 species
UUCCAGACUCCUACGGGAGGCAGCAGUGAGGAAUAUUGGUCAAUGGGCGCGAGCCUGAACCAGCCAAGUCGCGUGAGGGAGGACGGCCCUACGGGUUGUAAACCUCUUUUGCCGGGGAGCAACGGGCGUCACGUGUGGCGCCACUGAGAGUACCCGGAGAAAAAGCAUCGGCUAACUCCGUGCCAGCAGCCGCGGUAAUACGGAGGAUGCGAGCGUUAUCCGGAUUUAUUGGGUUUAAAGGGUGCGCAGGGGGAAGAUCAAGUCAGGGGUAAAAUGGGGGGGCUCAACCUCUUCGAGCCGUUGAAACUGGUUUUCUUGAGUGAGCGAGAAGUAUGCGGAAUGCGUGGUGUAGCGGUGAAAUGCAUAGAUAUCACGCAGAACUCCGAUUGCGAAGGCAGCAUACCGGCGCCCGACUGACGCUGAGGCACGAAAGCGUGGGUAUCGAACAGGAUUAGAUACCCGAGUA